GAUGAACGCUGGCGGCGUGCCUAAUACAUGCAAGUCGAGCGAACGGACGAGAAGCUUGCUUCUCUGAUGUUAGCGGCGGACGGGUGAGUAACACGUGGAUAACCUACCUAUAAGACUGGGAUAACUUCGGGAAACCGUAGCUAAUACCGGAUAAUAUUUUUAAACACAUGGUUCAAGAGUGAAAGACGGUAUUGCUGUACCUUAUAGAUGGAUCCGCGCUUAUUUGGUAAGUUGGUAAGGAAACGGCUUACAAAGGCAACGUUCCAUAGCCGCCCUGAGAGGGUGUCCGCCCACUCGGGACUGGGGACACGCUCCAGACUCCUACGGGAGGCAGCAGAAGGGAACCUUCCGCAAUGGGCGAAAGCUUGACGGGGCAACGCCGCGUGAUGGAGGAAGGUCUUCGGAUCGUAAACCCUGGUUAUUGGGGAAGACCAUAUGGGGAAUUAACUGUGCACAACGUGACGGUACCUAAUCAGAAAGCCACGGCUAACUACGUG
rnacentral:rRNA from 1 species